rnacentral:lncRNA from 1 species
CGGCAGGGGCUCUGGAGUCCUCGUUGGAUCGAAAAUUCCAGUCGGUAACCAACACCAUGGAGUCCAUUCAAGGCUUGUCGUCUUGGUGUAUAGAGAACAAAAAACACCACAGUACUAUCGUCUAUCAUUGGAUGAAGUGGCUCCGGAGAUCUGCAUAUCCCCACCGUUUGAAUCUCUUUUACCUUGCCAAUGAUGUCAUACAGAACUGUAAAAGGAAAAAUGCAAUCAUAUUCCGUGAAUCAUUUGCUGAUGUACUUCCUGAAGCAGCUGCUCUAGUGAAGGAUCCAUCUGUCUCUAAGUCUGUAGAACGAAUCUUUAAAAUCUGGGAAGAUAGAAAUGUAUACCCAGAAGAAAUGAUUGUGGCAUUGAGAGAAGCUUUGAGUA